CCAGAGAAUUUAGCAGAGAUGCUUUAGUGCCUUCGGGAACUCUGAGACAGGUGCUGCAUGGCUGUCGUCAGCUCGUGUUGUGAAAUGUUGGGUUAAGUCCCGCAGCGAGCGCAACCCCUAUCCUUUGUUGCCAGCGAUUCGGUCGGGAACUCAAAGGAGACUGCCGGUGAUAAACCGGAGGAAGGUGGGGAUGACGUCAAGUCAUCAUGGCCCUUACGAGUAGGGCUACACACGUGCUACAAUGGCGCAUACAAAGAGAAGCGACCUCGCGAGAGCAAGCGGACCUCAUAAAGUGCGUCGUAGUCCGGAUUGGAGUCUGCAACUCGACUCCAUGAAGUCGGAAUCGCUAGUAAUCGUAGAUCAGAAUGCUACGGUGAAUACGUUCCCGGGCCUUGUACACACCGCCCGUCACACCAUGGGAGUGGGUUGCAAAAGAAGUAGAUAGCUUAACCUUCGGGAGGGCGUUUACCACUUUGUGAUUCAUGACUGGGGUGAAGUCGUAACAAGGUAGGCGUACGUGU
rnacentral:rRNA from 1 species